rnacentral:rRNA from 1 species
CACGGGGGGAGCAAGCGUUGUUCGGAAUCACUGGGCGUAAAGGGCGUGUAGGCGGUCUGGUAAGUGGGAUGUGAAAGCCCCCGGCUCACCCGGGGAUCUGCAUUCCAAACUGCCAGACUUGAGUAUGGGAGAGGACAGGGGAAUUCCUGGUGUAGCGGUGAAAUGCGUAGAUAUCAGGAGGAACACCGGUGGCGAAAGCGCCUGUCUGGCCCAAUACUGACGCUGAUGGACGACGAAGCUAGGGGAGCAAACAGG